rnacentral:lncRNA from 1 species
CAAUGUAUAGCCGAAAAGCACCUGAGGACGUGAAGAAGGAAUUGAUAAAAUUAAAAGUGAAUUAUUACAUUCUGGAAGAGUCAUGGUGCAUAAGAAGAUCCAAGCCUGGGUGCAGCAUGCCUGAAAUCUGGGAUGUGGAGGAUCCGGACAACGCUGGGAAAACACCCCUGUGUAACAUCUUGGUGAAGGAUUCCAAGCCUCACUUUACCACAGUGUUCCAGAACAGUGUUUACAAAGUCCUAGAAGUUAUCAGACAGUGACUGCACGGGCACCUGCCAGAGACCACAUCAGCAGAUUAACCUCAGUGUGGAUUGUCCUUGAGACCUGAACCCUCAGGGAUGGCUUCCGGUGCCUACUCCUGGCAGCCUCGGAAGAGCCCUUCUCUUUCUGCCUUCUUCCCAGAGCCCAAGGACAAGCUUGUCUGGGGGCAUUGGUCACCUGCAAAGACAGACAGCACUUGCAACUGAGGAGCGAGGCCUCAGUGAGGAGCCGGCCUCACCAGCCAGGGUCCCCUCCCUGAAGCUGCCCGGGGACGGCCGUUCCCACUGUUGCAGACUGGCCAAGCUUCCUCAUCUGACGUUUAGUUUUAUUUCAUAAGCUUUUCCAACUCAGAAAACGGGAGCGGCUGGAGGUCAUGGUUUAGGAGUGCUUGAGCGAUGACGUGCUAAUGCAGAAGAAUGGAAACAGGGACAGGCGUGGGUGGGAAGGACACUCUCCCUGUCUCCUGCACAGCCAUUCUGCAGCCCAACAUGGCUGCUGUGUGGAUACAGCAGUUAGGAUUUUUUU